GUAACCAACAAUGAAAAAUCCCUAAAAGGAUCUAUCAAAGAUGAUAGUCAACUUAAACUUUCGAUUAAAUGUAAAGACAAUGUCAAAGUUAUUAAUGAAAAAGGAAAUUUAGAAGAAGAGACGCCAGAUGAAGAUAGUGAAGCAGAAAAAAUGUCUCCAUUACUUGAUUCUGACAAUACUGUUAACAAAACAUUAGAACAACCAUAUGAUCCUGUGGUUGAAAAAAAAGGAAUUAAUGUAAUAUUAAAUCAUGGCGCUGAAGAUGCUGAUUGCUACGGAGAAUGUGUGUCUCAUAUACUAUCCACUCAUCAAAAAGAAAAACCACAAUUAUCAGUUUCUCAGGUAUAAUUUAUAAUUUAAAGAAUAUUUUUGAGUAAUUCACUCUAAAUAUAUGUAGACAUUCACUUUCUACAAUAAAUGACUUUAA